AGCGAACGCUGGCGGCAGGCCUAACACAUGCGAGUCGAACGAACUCUUCGGAGUUAGUGGCGGACGGGUGAGUAACACGUGGGAGCGUGCCUUUAGGUUCGGAAUAACUCAGGGAAACUUGUGCUAAUACCGAAUGUGCCCUUCGGGGGAAAGAUUUAUCGCCUUUAGAGCGGCCCGCGUCUGAUUAGCUAGUUGGUGAGGUAAAGGCUCACCAAGGCGACGAUCAGUAGCUGGUCUGAGAGGAUGAUCAGCCACAUUGGGACUGAGACACGGCCCAAACUCCUACGGGAGGCAGCAGUGGGGAAUCUUGCGCAAUGGGCGAAAGCCUGACGCAGCCAUGCCGCGUGAAUGAUGAAGGUCUUAGGAUUGUAAAAUUCUUUCACCGGGGACGAUAAUGACGGUACCCGGAGAAGAAGCCCCGGCUAACUUCGUG
rnacentral:rRNA from 1 species